GGUAAACACCAGUAUGUAAUGGUUUUGGGUUGGAGCACCAUUCCUUGUUUGACAUCGCAUGCGUAACGAACUCCAUUGUAUUUUCAACGAUUUCCUUGAAGAUAUCAUGGCGAAUAAAUCAGGAAAAGCGAAGUCUAAAGUGAAAGUAAAAAAGUAAAAGUGAGACAGAUUUUUUGUUUGAAUCAAACAGGAACUGAGUUUCUGCAAGGACAGGACGUACUUCUGGACGGUGAUAGCGACUCCGACUGGGAGCCCCCGUGCCAAGCUGCCCGCUCUACCUCUGCCCCCAGAUGAUACUACAACAAUAAAAAACAGAAAACUUA